rnacentral:rRNA from 1 species
GAUGAACGCUGGCGGCGUGCUUAACACAUGCAAGUCGAACGGAGUUUUAAUGAUUGAUUGACUUAGCUUGCUAUCGAGAGAUUUCAUUAAAACUUAGUGGCGGACGGGUGAGUAACGCGUGGGUAACCUGCCGUAUACAGGGGGACAACAGUUGGAAACGACUGCUAAUACCGCAUAAGCGCACAGUAUCGCAUGAUACAGUGUGAAAAACUCCGGUGGUAUACGAUGGACCCGCGUCUGAUUAGCUAGUUGGUGAGGUAACGGCCCACCAAGGCGACGAUCAGUAGCCGGCCUGAGAGGGUGAACGGCCACAUUGGGACUGAGACACGGCCCAAAACUCCUACGGGAGGCAGCAGUGGGGAAUAUUGCGCAAUGGGGGGAACCCUGACGCAGCAACGCCGCGUGAAGGAAGAAGGUCUUCGGAUUGUAAACUUCUGUCCUAAAGGAAGAUAAAUGACGGUACUUUAGGAGGAAGCCACGGCUAACUACGUG